rnacentral:rRNA from 1 species
UACGUAGGUGGCAAGCGUUUGUCCGGAUUUACUGGGCGUAAAGAGCGCGCAGGCGGUCGUCCAAGUCGCGUGUGAAAGCCCCCGGCUCAACUGGGGAGGGUCACGCGAUACUGGUCGACUCGAAGGCAGGAGAGGGUAGUGGAAUUCCCGGUGUAGUGGUGAAAUGCGUAGAUAUCGGGGAGGAACACCAGUGGCGAAGGCGACACGCUGGGCCGUACCUGACACUGAUGCGCGACAGCAUGGGGAGCAAACAGG